UGAGGGGCAUCCCUUCCAUCACUUCACUCCACACUCAAUUUUUGGCUUCCCGCUUUCUUCUCUCUCUUUACAACAGGGAGGGAGUGUGUGUGUUCACGCUCAACCCUUUCAAACACAACACCCCUCUGCUUCGUAGUCGCGGUGCAAAUGUUGAAGAUUUCUACAACCAAUGUGAUCCUGUGACUAAGGCUUCUUGGGAGAUUGAGCAAUCCUUACAAAGUUUAAUAGCCUUUAUCAUUUUGUAGUCCAAAAGUUAAGAGAAAAGGGAAUACAAUUGCAGUUAGAUCUCUAUUUCUCACAAAAAGGAGUCAUAAGUAGUAAGUAAGACAUUUUUUUAAUAUAAUUUAGAAUAAAUUGUUCUCGUAUCUU